AGGAACAGCAAAUGCAGAAAGAAUUGCAUUGCAGCAUGAUGUCCGUAAAAUGGUCUUCAGUCCUGCUCUUGACACAGCUGAUAUGCUACUUCAGAUCUGGAACUUGUGGAAAAGUGCUGGUGUGGCCCAUGGAAUACAGUCAUUGGAUGAACAUAAAGAUAAUCCUGGAUGAACUUGUUGAGAGAGGGCAUGAAGUAACUGUUCUGACAUCUUCAGCUUCCGUCCUUAUUGAUCUCAUCCAUCCUUGUUGAUCCCAGCAAAUCAUCUACUAUAAAAUUCCAGAUAUACCCUACAUCAAUGAGUAAAGAUGAUCUGGAAUAUAUAUUUACAGACUUGGUAAAAGAAUGGACAAGUAGUUAUGCAAAAAAAUCAUUUUGGAAAUAUUAUCCACAAUUGCAAAAAUCCCUUUAUAAAUAUUCUGAUACUAUUGAAAAUUUAUGCAAAGCAGUAGUUAGGAACAAGAGUCUUAUGAAGAAACUACAGGAAUCAAAGUUUGAUGUUGUUCUCGCAGAUGCAAUUGGUCCCUGCGGUGAGCUGCUGGCGGAGGUAUUUAAAAUACCCCUCGUGUACACUCUUCGCUUCUCUAUUGGAUAUACUUUUGAAAAGUAUGGUGGGGGACUUCCGUUCCCUCCUUCCUAUGUGCCGGUAAUUUUCUCAGAAUUAAGUGACCGGAUGACAUUUGUGGAGAGGGUAAAGAAUAUGAUGCAUGUUUUAUACUUUGACUUUUGGUUCCAAACAUUUAAUGAAAAGAAGUGGAAUCAGCUUUACAGCGAAGUUCUAGGGAGACCCACAACAAUAUUUGAGAUGAUGGGAAAAGCAGAUAUGUGGCUCAUUCGAACAUAUUGGGAUUUAGAAUUUCCUCGUCCCCUCUUACCAAAUUUUGAAUUUGUGGGAGGACUUCACUGCAAACCUGCCAAACCUCUGCCUAAGGAAAUUGAGGACUUUGUGCAGAGCUCUGGAGAACAUGGUGUUGUUGUGUUUACUCUGGGGUCAAUGGUCAGUAAUAUGACAGAAGAAAGAGCCAACGUAGUGGCAUCAGCCCUUGCACAGAUUCCACAAAAGGUUCUGUGGAGAUUUGAUGGCAAGAAACCAGACACCCUAGGAUCCAAUACUCGACUGUACAAGUGGAUCCCCCAGAAUGACCUUCUCGGUCAUCCAAAAACCAAAGCUUUUAUAGCUCAUGGAGGAGCUAAUGGCAUGUAUGAGGCAAUCUACCAUGGUAUUCCUGUGGUGGGCAUUCCCUUGUUUGCGGAUCAACCUGAUAACAUUGCUCACAUGGUGGCCAAAGGAGCAGCUGUGAGAUUGGACUACAGCACACUGUCAACUACAGAUCUUCUCAGUGCCCUGAGGACAGUCAUUAAUGACCCUUCGUGA